AGGACGAACGCUGGCGGCGUGCCUAACACAUGCAAGUCGAACGAGGUCCAUCCGGUCGCAAGACCGGUGAAGACCUAGUGGCGAACGGGUGCGGAACACGUGAGCAACCUGCCCCGAAGACCGGGAUAACAGCGGGAAACUGCUGCUAAUACCGGAUGUCCCCACCGGUCCCGCAUGGGAUUGUGAGGAAAGGAUUCCGCUUCGGGAGGGGCUCGCGGCCUAUCAGCUUGUUGGUGAGGUAACGGCUCACCAAGGCGACGACGGGUAGCUGGUCUGAGAGGACGAUCAGCCACACUGGGACUGAGACACGGCCCAGACUCCUACGGGAGGCAGCAGUGGGGAAUCUUGCGCAAUGGGCGAAAGCCUGACGCAGCAACGCCGCGUGGGGGAUGAAGGCCUUCGGGUUGUAAACCCUUUCAGUGGGAACGAAAUUGACGGUACCACAGAAGAAGCCCCGGCCAACUACGUGCCAGCAGCCGC
rnacentral:rRNA from 1 species